rnacentral:rRNA from 1 species
AACGAACGCUGGCGGCAUGCCUAACACAUGCAAGUCGAACGAGACCUUCGGGUCUAGUGGCGCACGGGUGCGUAACGCGUGGGAACCUGCCCUUAGGUUCGGAAUAACUCCCCGAAAGGGGUGCUAAUACCGGAUAAUGUCUUCGGACCAAAGAUUUUUCGCCUUUGGAUGGGCCCGCGUUGGAUUAGCUAGUUGGUAGGGUAAAAGCCUACCAAGGCGACGAUCCAUAGCUGGUCUGAGAGGAUGAUCAGCCACACUGGGACUGAGACACGGCCCAGACUCCUUCGGGAGGCAGCAGUGGGGAAUAUUGGAAAAUGGGCGAAAGCCUGAUCCAGCAAUGCCGCGUGAGUGAUGAAGGCCUUAGGGUUGUAAAGCGCUUUUACCCGGGAUGAUAAUGACAGUACCGGGAGAAUAAGCUCCGGCUAACUCCGUG